UUUAUCUUAGUGUAUUGAGCACGUAAAAUUUUGAUUUUUAAGGUAAGUUAUUAGAUAAAG
rnacentral:tRNA from 1 species